CCGUGCGAAGGUAGCAUAAUCACUUGUUCUUUAAAUGAGGACUAGUAUCAACGGCAUCACGAGGAUCCUACUGUCUCCCCCCUCCAGUCAGUGAAACUGAUCUCUCCGUGAAGAAGCGGAGAUACGCAUAUAAGACGAGAAGACCCCAUGGAGCUUUAAACCCAACAACACCCGCCUCCCUUAAACCCUAUUAUCAGCCCGGCGAUUGUUUGCUUGGUUUUAGGUUGGGGUGACCACGGAGUACAAAACAUCCUCCAUGAAAAAAAGCUAACUGCCCUUAUUAGAGAAAGACAUUUCCAAAAAAUAACAAAUUAAUUUUUAAUGACCCGAUAUUCGAUCAACGAACCAAGUUACCCUGGGGAUAACAGCGCAAUCCGCCCCGAGAGCCCCUAUCGACAGGCGGGUUUACGACCUCGAUGUUGGAUCAGGGUAUCCUAGUGGUGCAGCAGCUACUAACGGUUCGUUUGUUCAACGAUUAAAACCCU
rnacentral:rRNA from 1 species